ACACAUGCAAGUCGAACGGCAGCACGGACUUCGGUCUGGUGGCGAGUGGCAAACGGGUGAGUAAUACAUCGGAACGUGCCUAGUAGUGGGGGAUAACUACUCCAAAGAGUGGCUAAUACCGCAUGAGAUCUACGGAUGAAAGCAGGGGAUCGCAAGACCUUGUGCUACUAGAGCGGCUGAUGGCAGAUUAGGUAGUUGGUGGGAUAAAAGCUUACCAAGCCCACGAUCUGUAUCUGGUCUGAGAGGACGAUCAGCCACACUGGGACUGAGACACGGCCCAGACUCCUACGGGAGGCAGCAGUGGGGAAUUUUGGACAAUGGGCGCAAGCCUGAUCCAGCAAUGCCGCGUGCAGGAUGAAGGCCUUCGGGUUGUAAACUGCUUUUGUACGGAACGAAAAGCUUUGGGCUAAUACCCUGGAGUCAUGACGGUACCGUAAGAAUAAGCACCGGCUAACUACGUGCCAGCAGCCGCGGUAAUA
rnacentral:rRNA from 1 species